UGGGGUUUGAAAUGGGAAAGUCGAAAAUGAGGAGGAGGAGUUGGAGGCCGAAGAUAAGUGGGGUUUUAAAUGGGAAAGUCUGAAAUGGGCAGUAUGGAGGAAGAAGACGGAAGUUUUUGAUUUGACAUGAAAAGACAUGACUUUUUUAGAUGUAGUAGGAUGAUUAACGGACAGGAUGGGAACGCACAUACGUAUGCUGAAAAUUACCAUAAAUUUAUA
rnacentral:lncRNA from 1 species